CGCACUUGGAAGGGACGACCAAUAGUUCUGUGUUCCUGACCUGUCUUACAGUCUUUCGCUUCUAUCCGCAGUGGACCAUUUGGCUGAUCACGUCACUCUACAGCUGUUCUGCCACAUUUGAGCACCCACAUUAAAGACAAAAGUUGGGGAGAUAAUGAAGAGGCAAGACAGCAAUAUGGGAUUGGCUGGAAAGAUGACAGACUGCAUAUGCACAUCAAAUAAAUUCCAAACGCAGCCAUCUAUUCCCAAGGUUUGGACAAAACAAAGGAACGAAUGUGGAACAGAAGUUUCAAAGACCUCUACGGAAAGAUAAAGUUCUCGGAGGUAUCAACCUCAUAUGAAAGGGUCUUUUAAAAGGUCAUUUUAUUAAAGCUAUGGAGAAGAAA
rnacentral:lncRNA from 1 species